GUGCUCAUUGUGAUGUCCAGUGGACCCAGUCGCCAUCCCUGUCUACAUCUCUGGGAGAGAGAAGCACCAUCAUUUGCAAAGCCAGUCAGGUCAUUAGCAAUUAUUUACAUUCUUACCAGACAGAGAGCGAGGAAAGCUCCAAAGCUCCUGAUCUAUUUUGCACCUACUUGGCAAUCUGGGGUCCCAUGGAGGUUCAAUGGAAGUGGAUCUGGCACAGAGUUCACUCUCAGCAUCAGCAGCCUGCAGCCUGAAGAUUUUGCCACUUACUACUGUCAGCAGGGAUCAAGUGGAGAUGUUGUGAUGACCCAGACUCCACUCCCCCUGCCUGUCACCCUAGGAGAGCCAGCCUCCAUCUCCUGCAGGUCUAUUCAGAACUUUCUAUAUAGCAAUGGAAACACAUAUUUGAAAUGGUUCCUGCAGAAGCCAGGCCAGUCUCCACAACUCCUGAUCUAUGAGGUUUCCAACUGAGAAUCUGGGAUCUCAGAAAGAUUCAGUGGCAGUGGGUCAGGCACAGAUUGCACAUUGAAAUGUAGCAGUGUGGAAACUGAGGAUGAUGGGGUGUAUUACUGCUUUCAAGCUACACAUAAUCCUCCCACAGUGAUACAUCCCUGAACUAGAACCUCUCCUCUGGCUGGGUGAGCCACCCUCAUGUGUUGCUGGUC